rnacentral:rRNA from 1 species
AUUGAACGCUGGCGGCAUGCCUAACACAUGCAAGUCGAGCGGAUGAAGGGGACUUGCUCUUGGAUUCAGCGGCGGACGGGCGAGUAAUGCCUAGGAAUCUGCCUGGUAGUGGGGGAUAACGUCCGGUCACGGGCGCUAAUAUCGCAUACGUCCUGAGGGAGAAAGUGGGGGAUCUUCAGACAUCACGCUAUCAGAUGAGCCUAGGUCGGAUUAGCUAGUUGGUAGGGUAAAGGCCUACCAAGGCGACGAUCCGUAACUGGUCUGAGAGGAUGAUCAGUCACACUGGAACUGAGACACGGUCCAGACUCCUACGGGAGGCAGCAGUAGGGAAUCUUGGACAAUGGGCGAAAGCCUGACCCAGCCACGCCGCGUGAGUGAAGAAGGUCUUCGGAUCGUAAAACACUUUAAGUAGGGAAGAAGAGCUGUAAGUUUAUCUCUUGCUGUUUUGACGUUACCAACUGAAUAAGCACCGGCUAACUUCGUG